rnacentral:rRNA from 1 species
UACGUAGGGGGCUAGCGUUGUCCGGAAUCAUUGGGCGUAAAGAGCGUGUAGGCGGCCAAGCAGGUCCGCUGUGAAAACUCGAGGCUCAACCUCGAGACGUCGGUGGAAACCGUUUGGCUAGAGUCCGGAAGAGGAGAGUGGAAUUCCCGGUGUAGCGGUGAAAUGCGCAGAUAUCAGGAGGAACACCAAUAGCGAAGGCAGCUCGCUGGGACGGUAUUGACGCUGAGGCGCGAAAGCGUGGGGAGCAAACAGG